rnacentral:rRNA from 1 species
UAGCUAAUCCUGGUCGGACAUCAGGAGGUUAGUGCAAUGGCAUAAGCUAGCUUGACUGCGAGCGUGACGGCGCGAGCAGGUGCGAAAGCAGGUCAUAGUGAUCCGGUGGUUCUGAAUGGAAGGGCCAUCGCUCAACGGAUAAAAGGUACUCCGGGGAUAACAGGCUGAUACCGCCCAAGAGUUCAUAUCGACGGCGGUGUUUGGCACCUCGAUGUCGGCUCAUCACAUCCUGGGGCUGAAGUAGGUCCCAAGGGUAUGGCUGUUCGCCAUUUAAAGUGGUACGCGAGCUGGGUUUAGAACGUCGUGAGACAGUUCGGUCCCUAUCUGCCGUGGGCGCUGGAGAAUUGAGGGGGGCUGCUCCUAGUACGAGAGGACCGGAGUGGACGCAUCACUGGUGUUCGGGUUGUCAUGCCAAUGGCACUGCCCGGUAGCUAAAUGCGGAAGAGAUAAGUGCUGAAAGCAUCUAAGCACGAAACUUGCC